CAUUCACACACACAGGUGCACACACACAGGUGCAUUCACAGAUGCAUGCAGGUGCACACAUGCACACACACAGGCUUGGUUUGCCUGCCCCUGUCCCGCAUUCAGCUUGUGUGUGUGUCUGUCCUCACAUUUGCAGUGUCCCUCGUAAGCAGCAUAUGGUUUUGUUUUAUCCAACUGCCGACGUUUACCUUUAACGGAGUAUUCAGUGGGUUCCCGUUCAGUGCGCUUACGGACAGAUGUCAGUUUGAACCAACUAUGUUAAAUGUGCCUGGUUCCAUCUGCUCUGUGCUCCCUUUUCUCUCCUUUCGUGUCGUCUUCAGGGUCCGGUAAUUUUGGUGCCGUCCUCGCCGGGCAUGCUUAGUUGCGUGGUCCUGGCCCGUCGUUGGCUCCACCCCCGGAAGCGGUGAGGUAUGUCCCGCUUCGACCACGCUGAACGAGGCAGCGGUUCGCUCCUGGGGGUCUCCCCUCCAGCAUCGCCUCCUUCUCGAAGGGCCCUCGCCAUCGUUCCCGUCCCAUCAGGGCGGGUCCUCCGAUGGCCUCGCUCGGAAGGGGGUUUCCGCUGACGCACACAGGCCAUCUUUACGUCGUCCUGAGGCCUCUUUCUGGCGUCUGUCUUCCGUGCGGAGGAGUGAGGUCCUGUUGGUCGGUGGAGCGAAGGGCUCCUUCGGCCUCAGAAAACCCUUCGCCGUGACGCCUCCAGGUGCUCUCCCGCCGGCGCCCCCGCCCCUGCCCCGGCCCGCGGCCUCCACGCAGACCUCUCUCGCUCCCCUCCCGGUCUCGUCUGCCGAAACUCACGCGGCCUCCUCGGGUCCAGUGGCCGCGCCCCUCCAUCCCAGAACGGAACCGGGUUCUUUCCAGGGUCCCGGCUCCCUGCACUCACCCCCACCUUCCCUUUGCUGGAGCACUGUCGUGAUGCAAGCUCCCACCCUGGCUGGCUCUCCUGGGGGCCUGUCUCACCUCUGCUCUCCUGCCUGCAUUCCGGUCCGUUCUGGCCAUUUUGUUCACUUGCUCAGCCUAAAUCGUAGGCCCUCGGUGAGCUCACCUUCCUCAGGGAGCGGCUUCUUCUGCCUCUAGCAGUCCUCAGGGAAAACCCUCUAGCAGUCUCAGCCCCGCCCGGCGGCCUGUCUCUGACCCCGCCCUUGCUCUGGGCUGCAGCCCCUCACUGGGGGGGCCCCGGUCGGCCACCCUUUAGUUGUCACUGCCUGGGGCUGGGGGCCCCGGCCCUCUGGGCUUCUGUCCUGCUAGCCCCCAACAGCCGCCCUGUCGUUUUCUUCUAUUUCAUUCAGCAGUUGAAGAAUUUGGCAGAGUCGUCCCACGUCCCUCGGAAGGAACCUGUGAGGUGCUAAGACUUCAGCCCCGGGGCAAUUGGGCCAAGGGAGGACUCCACGCAGCCGUGGGAGGGGAGGGGCCGUCCCCCCACACGCCGCCCUUCAGCCCCGCUGUCCUUGAAGCCCUGGGCCCUGAGGCUUUGGGCCAACUAGGGAUCAAACCGCCACAGGUGCCGUCGGGCCCCAUACGCCUGGAAGGGGUGUCCUUCCUCCAGGAGGGCACGGGUCACCACAGAGGACAGUGCCGGGGACCCACCCCAGCCCAGGGCCGCCUGGAGCACACUCACCUGGUGGUCCUGGUGGGCCCACUUCUCCUUUGUCACCCUUCGGUCCAGGAGGCCCCUGGUACCCUGGAGGGACAGAGACCCAGGAGUGCCCAUCAUCGAGCUGUGACAGGGCCCUUGGGCCAUGCCCCUGUGCCCCCGCUCACCCCCAGCCCUUGUGAGUGCUGCGUGGCACUAGCCUGGACGGGGGAGGGCACCACACGAGUUUGGGAGCCUUCAGAGCAAGAGCUUCGUUGAGCAGAAGCACUCGGGGGUCCCACCCAAGGGGCUGCCCCUGGAGGCCACACCACUCCCGUGGGGCGGGCGCGGGCUGACAGAGCAGGCCCGGGCAGGGGGCAGAUCUAAAUUCCGCACGCAAGUGGGUGUCUACUCAGUGUCCGGGACUGUCCCCCCGCGAGGCUGCCAGGACGGCCUGCUGGGACGACCCGGGAGGCCCCGCGAGGGGCCCGUGAUCACUCUGGGAGCAGGGGACAUGGGCCGAUGAGGCAUUCCUGCUUCCCCCUGGAGCCCAGGCUCACAGGAUGAAGUCCUGCUGCAUCCAGCAUCCCCAAGAGAAGCCAACCGCCCCAGCCACCGCGAGGCCCCAGGGGCCCUCACCUGGCAAUCCUGGAGGUCCAGGGCGGCCAGACUCCAUGAAGGGCCUGCAAAGAAGCUGGCCGGACCACACGGCUCGAGGUUCAGGCUCCCAGAUGCAGAGAGCCCUCACUUCCCCAGAAAGAGAAGAGACAGCCACCCAGGCGGGGUGCAAAGCACUCAUUCUGGCAGUGACCUGCUUACUGGACAAAGCACCAGCCUGUGUAACUCACGCUGCGUCAGGAGCGAGACCAGGGCCAGUGAGGUCGUGCGAACCUCAGGACCCGGCCCCGCCUGCCCUGCGGUCGCCUCCUUGCAGUGCCCCACUGAGGCCAAGGACAGAGGGACUGGAGGCAGCACAGAGGUGGGGUGUCGGGCCCCCAGAGGAGCCGCUGGAGGCGGAGCCCUGUCCCAGCAGACUCCGCGGGGCACACAUGCGCCCUUAGGUCAGAACUGACUCGCUGUCCGCCCUUAGGUCAGAAGUGCGGAAAGGAUCCCGGCGCCUGUCUUGCUUGUCGAGGCCCGCGACCCGUCUUUCUGUCACUACUUCAGAUCGCCGCGAGAUGUCACCUCCUGCCUCUUGAUUUUUCACGAGGCAGCAGCCACGUUUAGGCCACGGGAGGAAGGAGCCACGAUGAAGAACCAGCAGUGAUGGCAAAAGCAGAAAAGUGGGGACCGUCUGACACACUGGCCUCGGGACCCCACGCCCCGGCCCGGGCCGCGGGAGCAAAGUCACCGAGUGCACCUGGCAGCUGGCUGGGUGCCCGGCCGCGGGACUGGGAGCAGGUCCCGUGUCUGGAGGCCCCCUCUUAGGGAGAAACGGAUAAAAACACCCAGGCUACCAACAUAAACCCUGCUCAGAAGCCGGUGAGGCGCUGAGAGUCAGGCUGUGGUGCUGAGUGAGGGGCCCCACCGGGGGCAGGGGUCACGCCCGGGACCCACGCGGCCGUGCCCUUCCAGAAGAGCCACUCGGGGUCCCUGUCCCCGCAGCUCAGCUGGAGUGUGCGCGCACAUGUGUGGGGUCCUUGUGCCAGAGGACCGGCCCGGCGUGGUCACGGCGCAGGGCCCUCCCCACGCCCCUGGGCGUCCCAGCCACGCCGUCCGCCCCUUGGGGGACACUCACCCUCACACCAAAGCCGACGCUGCCAUGUCCUGGCUCCCCUUUCUCGCCUUUCAGUCCGUUC